rnacentral:rRNA from 1 species
UAGCCGUAAACGAUACUCGCUAGGUGUCGGCCACGGUGCGACCGUUGUCGGUGCCGUAGGGAAGCCGUGAAGCGAGCCACCUGGGAAGUACGGCCGCAAGGCUGAAACUUAAAGGAAUUGGCGGGGGAGCACCACAACGGGUGGAGCUUGCGGUUUAUUGGAUUCAACGCCGGAAAUCUUACCGGGACCGACAGCAACAUGAAGGCCAGGCUGAAGACUUUGCCGGAUUAGCUGAGAGGAGGUGCAUGGCGUAGUCGUGU